GCAUAGGGGGUGAAUUCUGCCCACUGGUUGUAUCGUGAAACUAAAGAUUAACAUCUUAAGCGAAGCCCGACUGAAUGGCCGCGGUAACUCUGACCGUGAUAAUGUAGCACAAUAAAUAGCCAAUUAAUUGUUGGCGGGUAUGAAUGGAACCACGAGGAUCUUACUGUCUCAAGAGGGAAGCCGGUGAAAUUAUAAUUGUAGUGAAGAUACUACAUCGAUAUUGUAAGACGAAAAGACCCUAUCGAGCUUUACUGGGUACCGAUAGCAUUAACUUAUAAUAAUAGGCGGCUUGGGGCUUAGUUAUAGGCUAAUUAAUAAUGUCGGUAGGACAGUUUAGUUGGGGCGACUACCUUUGAAUAAGAAACGAAGGCGAGCUUAUGGUAGUAUAAGUAAUCACAUCCGCCUCACAGUGAGGGGGACACUCCUAACUGGCACAAUAAUCUGUGGGUGAUAGUGACCCGAUAGGAUUACCCAAAACAUCCAUCGAAAGCGGAUAAAAGCUACCGUAGGGAUAACAGCGUAAUAUUGUCGGAGAGUUCUUAUCGAUGACAGUGUUUGCGACCUCGAUGUUGAAUUGCGGCGUCCUGGUGCUGUAGAAGGUACCUUAGGUUGGUC
rnacentral:rRNA from 1 species